AUGACCUCAAAUCAGAUGAGACUACCCGCUGAACUUAAGCAUAUCUAUCAGAGAGGGUAU
rnacentral:rRNA from 1 species